rnacentral:pre_miRNA from 1 species
UUGAGACAAAGUUCUGAGACACUCCGACUCUGAAUAUGAUAGAAGUCAGUGCACUACAGAACUUUGUCUCUGG